CUCCGGACCUCCUGCUGCACCACCCGCAAUUAUCCGUAUUUCCGGGCUCGCAAGGCGAAGGUAAGGACAUGGUGUUUGCUGCAACGUUUCAUGGGGCAUAGUCUAUAAACCCUUCCUUCACCGUCGCCUCGCCGGUAUCAAAUCUAGGAGGAGAAGAUGCUGAAGGGGGGGACUCUGGAUGUGAGAUUGCUCCUCAUUGUAGAGACGAAGGGGAGAUGCCACUGCAGGCUCUGCUGUUCUUAGCAUCUUUGACCUUUUGUGGAAAUUUCUUGCUAUGAUUAGAGUUGGUUAUCAAAUUACUCAUGGGGGAAUAGAGAGUUCACCAGAAGUGGAAGGAACUCGGUACUGACACAAAGUACUUAUCCCCACACACGCAAUCUUCUCAUUUCUGAGCAUACUGUAACGCACAUUGAUAUCUAUGGGGGAAACAAAUUUAUUGCUCCUCAACCCUUCCAUGCCAGCAUUUUACUCACCAUCCAGGAUUAAGGAAUGGUUUAGUCGGUUUGAGUACCGACACAAAUGAAGUCGUUUCGUGUCCCAGAUAGCACUCAAUGAAAUCUUUUCCCAUUGUUCAUUUUGAUUACUAUUCAAAUUCUGCUUCGUGGAAUCAAAGAUGCAUAGACUAAAGUCACUGGUUGGCAAAGUUUAAAGGGUAGGAAGAUUUGUUUCUGCUAUUUCUUUUGUCAGGUUGUUUGAAAGACACUGGUAAUGAUCAUGGGGUAUAAUCAGAAUCUAGAAAGAAUCUUUUCUGAAGGAUUAGCAUAUUGUCUGUGUUCUCACUUUUUUUUGUUAAAUUUCCAAUAGAUUGUCCACUUUCUACUUCUUCAUUUCUAACAUUGUACCAAAUCACAUGCAAUGGUCCAAAAUUUCUUGCCUUUUAUGUUGUUUGUUCUCCUGUUCCAUAGUUAUCACAUUGACAUAAUUACGUCCACAUUUUGUCAUAUGGUUGCUAUAACUCUUUCGUUGCUAAGGAAAUUGUCAGAAGCAAGAGUGCUAAUGUUGACGGGCACAAACUUGUGUGGUUCUUCCCUGAUGUGCCAAGAGCUGCCAUUUUUUUGGUCAGUAAUA